GCGGAUCACCACCUGAACAAUUUUUUUUUGCACAACUUCACCUAUACUCAAUUAAUUGUGCCACUUUACCCAUUUUUGCCGGUUUGCAGGUCAAAAUGACCUGUUCUCAACCCAUGUGCAUCGCACAUGACAAAUCCAAGGAUAUUGACGUCUUUUCCAUUUUUAAAAUUGAAUAAAUGUUAAAUAGAAUAAAUAAAAAAUAAAAAAACAAAAGAAAAAAAAGAAAAAAAAACAACAAAGGUCUUCGUCUUGAUCACCAGCCUUGUUCACCAGCAGAAGAUCCACCAUAGCUACUAUUGCUGCAAUUUUAUUUCCCCCAAUCACCACCAUCAUCAGACCAACAACAACAAAAACGCCGCCAUUUAUCCGUCAGUAAUCAGCCCUAAUUUCACAUAGCUCCUCCUCAUAAACUCAUCAAGGCCAACGGCGUUGGCGGCGGCAUAUCAUAUUCAACCACCCCACCCUACUCAUCUAACUCACAACUUUCAUCAACCAUUUCUCUCAUAUUGCAGCCGCUCACCACCAGGAACCAGCUCUGCCCUCUUGCACAACCACGAAGCUCACCACCACCACCACAUCUUCUUCAGAUCCGCCGCCAUCUUGAUUGAAAUUGGACCUAAAUUUAGGUCUAAAAUGUUCAUUUAAUUUCCCCCUUUCCCCGAUUGAGGUUAUAUGAACACUAUUUUCUCUCGAUUUCUUCCUCCGAAUCGACUAGAUCUUCUUCCAACGAAUGGAGGAUUAGAUGAGAUUCUCACAAUUGAGGCCGCCCCAUGCCGCGGCGGAGGUGUGCGGCGCUCGGCCGUGAGAUCGGGUGUGCGCAGGUGGGCGGUGGGUGGUGAGAUUGGUGCGACGGCAGUGGUAAUCCUUGAAAUUGCAGAGGCGAGA
rnacentral:lncRNA from 1 species